AUGUACCCCUCGUACACUGCGGUUGCGGAUACGCCGUCCACGCCAGCUGGCAACUGCGCGCGAUGCGCCGUUGGCU
rnacentral:sRNA from 1 species